GCGACCACGCGAGUGUGAGCGAAUCUCAAAAAUAACGUCUCAGUUCGGAUUGUAGUCUGCAACUCGACUACAUGAAGCUGGAAUCGCUAGUAAUCGCGGAUCAGAAUGCCGCGGUGAAUACGUUCCCGGGUCUUGUACACACCGCCCGUCACACCAUGAGAGCCGAUAACACCCGAAGCCUGUGAGCUAACCGGUAAGGGGGCAGCAGUCGAAGGUGGGGUUGGUGAUUGGGGUGAAGUCGUAACAAGGUAAC
rnacentral:rRNA from 1 species